AAUCUCAUAGCUCAAUUGGUUGGAUACGCCGAAGGUUGAAGGUUCGAGUCCUUCUGGGAUUA
rnacentral:tRNA from 1 species